rnacentral:rRNA from 1 species
GACGAACGCUGGCGGCGUGCCUAAUACAUGCAAGUAGAACGCACAGUUUAUACCGUAGCUUGCUACACCAUAGACUGUGAGUUGCGAACGGGUGAGUAACGCGUAGGUAACCUGCCUGGUAGCGGGGGAUAACUAUUGGAAACGAUAGCUAAUACCGCAUAAUAUUGAUUAUUGCAUGAUAAUUGAUUGAAAGAUGCUAUUGCAUCACUACCAGAUGGACCUGCGUUGUAUUAGCUAGUAGGUGAGGUAACGGCUCACCUAGGCGACGAUACAUAGCCGACCUGAGAGGGUGAUCGGCCACACUGGGACUGAGACACGGCCCAGACUCCUACGGGAGGCAGCAGUAGGGAAUCUUCGGCAAUGGACGAAAGUCUGACCAAGCAACGCCGCGUGAGUGAAGAAGGUUUUCGGAUCGUAAAGCUCGGUUGUAAGAGAAGAACGGGUGUGAGAGUGGAAAGUUCACACUGUGACGGUAUCUUACCAGAAAGAGACGGCUAACUACGUG